CCAUCUUCCUUGUUCUUCAGGUGCCUGAUCUUCUCUUCCUUGGGUUAAUGGACUCCUCGCUUUUUUAGGACCUGCCAGAUGAAGUCAGAGAGUUGGCUGAUGAUGCCCAGGUGGCAACUCUGCCACAGGUCUUGGAGCACAGCCAGGAGGACCUCCAGGAUCAUGGACAGCUUCUCCUCCUUCAUCCCCUUGAUGAGAAAGAAAAGAGCUCCAGGACCUUGAACAUCUUGAGAAAUUAUGAGGACAGCAUCCAUUACCAAUGGCAGUCAUAGCAAUGACCCUUGAAGAUCCCACCUUUGCUCUAAGAAGCCUAAGGAUAUUAUUAGCUGAGGUGAAGAUGUCCUCUUCCAUCAGAAGCCUCAUCUUGUCAAAUCACAGAGCUAGAAGGGACCUCAGAAGUCAUCAGUCCACUCCCUUCAUUUAACAGAUGAAGAAGCUCACACUUAAGCCAGGUGAGUGGUUUGCCCAAGGUGACAGAGGUAGUAAAUGGCAGAGGCAGCUAGAUUUGCUCAGACUCUAACCCUCCUUCCUCACCAUCACAGUACUUUUCUUGGCUACCUCAUCGUACUGCCUAUUGAGCUGGUAGU
rnacentral:lncRNA from 1 species